rnacentral:rRNA from 1 species
UAACUGAAUCCAUAGGUUAAUGAGGCGAACCGGGGGAACUGAAACAUCUAAGUACCCCGAGGAAAAGAAAUCAACCGAGAUUCCCCCAGUAGCGGCGAGCGAACGGGGAGGAGCCCAGAGCCUGAAUCAGCAUGUGUGUUAGUGGAAGCGUCUGGAAAGGCGCGCGAUACAGGGUGACAGCCCCGUACACAAAAGCGCAUGUGCUGUGAGCUCGAUGAGUAGGGCGGGACACGUGGUAUCCUGUCUGAAUAUGGGGGGACCAUCCUCCAAGGCUAAAUACUCCUGACUGACCGAUAGUGAACCAGUACCGUGAGGGAAAGGCGAAAAGAACCCCGGCGAGGGGAGUGAAAAAGAACCUGAAACCGUGUACGUACAAGCAGUGGGAGCACCCUUUGGGGUGUGACUGCGUACCUUUUGUAUAAUGGGUCAGCGACUUAUAUUCUGUAGCAAGGUUAACCGUAUAGGGGAGCCGGAGGGAAACCGAGUCUUAAUUGGGCGUUAAGUUGCAGGGUAUAGACCCGAAACCCGGUGAUCUAGCCAUGGGCAGGUUGAAGGUUGGGUAACACUAACUGGAGGACCGAACCGACUAAUGUUGAAAAAUUAGCGGAUGACCUGUGGCUGGGGGUGAAAGGCCAAUCAAACCGGGAGAUAGCUGGUUCUCCCCGAAAGCUAUUUAGGUAGCGCCUCGUGAAUUCAUCUCCGGGGGUAGAGCACUGUUUCGGCUAGGGGGCCAUCCCGGCUUACCAACCCGAUGCAAACUGCGAAUACCGGAGAAUGUUAUCACGGGAGACACACGGCGGGUGCUAACGUCCGUCGUGAAGAGGGAAACAACCCAGACCGCCAGCUAAGGUCCCAAAGUCAUGGUUAAGUGGGAAACGAUGUGGGAAGGCCCAGACAGCCAGGAUGUUGGCUUAGAAGCAGCCAUCAUUUAAAGAAAGCGUAAUAGCUCACUGGUCGAGUCGGCCUGCGCGGAAGAUGUAACGGGGCUAAACCAUGCACCGAAGCUGCGGCAGCGACGCUUAUGCGUUGUUGGGUAGGGGAGCGUUCUGUAAGCCUGUGAAGGUGUGUCGUGAGGCAUGCUGGAGGUAUCAGAAGUGCGAAUGCUGACAUAAGUAACGAUAAAGCGGGUGAAAAGCCCGCUCGCCGGAAGACCAAGGGUUCCUGUCCAACGUUAAUCGGGGCAGGGUGAGUCGACCCCUAAGGCGAGGCCGAAAGGCGUAGUCGAUGGGAAACGGGUUAAUAUUCCCGUACUUGGUGUUACUGCGAAGGGGGGACGGAGAAGGCUAUGUUGGCCGGGCGACGGUU